GCCCAGAUGAACUUCAGAGGUCCAGGGUGCAGGCUUUAAACCUGUGGCUGUUUAAAAGCGGAAUGGUUUGAUUCUACCUUCUGGGUG
rnacentral:tRNA from 1 species